rnacentral:rRNA from 1 species
GACGAACGCUGGCGGCGUGCUUAACACAUGCACGUCGAACGGAAAGGCCCUGCUUUUGUGGGGUGCUCGAGUGGCGAACGGGUGAGUAACACGUGAGUAACCUGCCCUUGACUUUGGGAUAACUUCAGGAAACUGGGGCUAAUACCGGAUAGGAGCUCCUGCUGCAUGGUGGGGGUUGGAAAGUUUCGGCGGUUGGGGAUGGACUCGCGGCUUAUCACCUUGUUGGUGGGGUAGUGGCUUACCAAGGCUUUGACGGGUAGCCGGCCUGAGAGGGUGACCGGCCACAUUGGGACUGAGAUACGGCCCAGACUCCUACGGGAGGCAGCAGUGGGGAAUAUUGCACAAUGGGCGGAAGCCUGAUGCAGCAACGCCGCGUGCGGGAUGACGGCCUUCGGGUUGUAAACCGCUUUCGCCUGUGACGAAGCGUGAGUGACGGUAAUGGGUAAAGAAGCACCGGCUAACUACGUG